rnacentral:lncRNA from 1 species
UUAUCGAGAGCACCACGCCGGAGCAACGAUGGAGAAAGAGAGAGUGCACACGUCGUGGUAGUCGCCUUAUGUCUACAUCGUCGUUCUGGUUCUGGCUAUUGGUCGUGGAGAUUCACCAAGGGUUUGUGUAGCAUGCGUGCUAUGAUGCUAGGCGAAAGGGCUUGUUGGAACCGUAGAGUUUCUUAUUGGGAUCGAGUGGCGCCGUGUAGCUACAUAUGGCGUGGAUAGCGCCACCGACGCCUCAACCACCGGUAAGUCAGUCCCUAUAGAGGUAUUCCAUUUCCCCGCAUUCGUUUACACUGUGUAUAGGUCGGAGUGGGUCACUAGAGCAUUGGGGAGCAUACACCGACAAGGGGCGUCACCGUGGUGGAUGGGUGUCGUUGCCUGAUGCAUCGGGCUAGUGGAUGGUGAUAAUUAAUUGAAGAAUACCAUUCAGGUAGAUGCGAUCUAGACUCUUGAUCGUCGAGCGGACGAUUAGGAUUAUAAGGGGCAUACCAUUUUGUCGAUUACGCGUGAGUCAUGGAUCUUUGAUCGGAUGGCUUGGGUCGAGUGGGAGUAAUAACAGUUUUGUAACAUUUGCUUAAGAGACCUGAAAAUGACACGCAAUCCACCACGCUUGUUCCAACAACCUGAUUGUUUCUAGAUUUUGAACCUUAACAAAACAAAAUAGUAAUUACUAUUAGCACCAAUUGGUAUUCAUGGUCUUAUUAUUUCCACUGCGAAUUCAAGCCAAAAUAUUUGUUUAUUUAGAAUUGAGGGAGUAUUGCACUAUUUCCAUUAAUCAUCAUAUCUUUUGCUAGACGCUACUUUUGUGUUAUGUUGAAAAAGAUUUUGUAACAAUCUAAAAUCCUAACGAAUGGAUUUAGGAAAACUUCUUCCAAAUUUUUAAAAGUGUUUCUAAUAAAAGAUCAAUUAAAAAAGAUCAUGAUAUGGAUUACAUUACUCUUUGGUUGGACUAUAUAUUUUGGAGAAGAACUCUAAAGCUUCAAAUUACAUUUUCUAAUUAAGAUUUCGCAUAUGAAAUUAUUUAACUUUUCCUAAAAUAAAAUGAUAAACAUGGAAUCUUGAAUUAAACUAAGCAUUUAAACAGAAUAUUGUCUUAAAAUAAAUGAGGGCACUAUUAAUUUGAUCAACUUUAGGUUUGAAUCUUGACACUAGAACUUGAAUUUGAAACUUGAAAAAGAAACAAAAAGAAAGAGUUUCAAUUGAUUUAAUAGAGUGGAUUAUUCCCUUCAUGAUCUUAGAAACAAUCUUUAAAAAUAUAUGAGUUAAAAAUAUGUCUAGAUAGAUAUUUUACAUUUCUUUAUCCUAAAAUAAGUAAUCAAUAUUUAUUUUUGAAUUAACUUUUGAUUUAUCACACAUUGAAAAUAAUAUUUCACUAAAGGAAAUAAUAUGUGUGUAUUCCAUAUUUGAAGCAUUUGACUAAAUAAUUAAUUAAUAUAUAAAAUAAAACCUUUGCAUUGGCAUGCUGGAGAUUUAUUUGUUUAUGCAUUAAAAAAUCUAGUGUAAAAUUCAAACUCAAUUUGAAUAUGAACUUUAGGGAUUUAAAAUAGAAAAGAAACUAGAAAAGAAAAGGAGAAAAGCUCCUUUCCUACUUGGAACCCAGCCCUUUUUUUUCUCUUGUACCCGAUUUUGGCCCAAGUUAUUUCCCCAACCGGCCCAGUUACUCCAUGCACCCGCACGGUCCAACCCCACACACGCUGGGUGUCACGUUAUCCUUCUGUUGUGUGGGUCCUUCCUGUCAGUCGCUUGACUGUGCACUCGCGUGAAUUCAGUCAUUGUCUCAUGGGGUCGCCUCACUGUAACAAAUUCGACGUGUUCGUAACAAUCGUAACCACCCGGAAAUUCCCUGCCAGCCAGAUCUGGCAGGGGAAUCCCUUAUCGGGUGUACAAAUGCGGAUCCUCAUGGGACCUUGUCUCCAUAAAACGAUUAAUCGAGCCACGUGAAUACUUAGUUACCGAGAGCACCAUGUCGGAGCAACCUGGGAGAAAGAGAGAGUGCACACGUCGUGGUAGUCGCCUUCUGUCUACGUCGUCGUUCGGGUUCCAGCUAGUGGCCGUGGAGAUUCGCCAAGGGUUCGUGUAGCAUGCGUGCUACGAUGCUAGGUGAGAGGGCUUGUUGGAACCAUAAAAUUCCUCAAUGGGAUCGAGGGGGUCGUGUAGCUACUGUAUGGCAUGGAUAGCGCCACCGACGCCUUAACCAUCGGUAAUAAGUCCCUAUAGAAUUAUUCCCUUUCUCCGCAUUCAUUUACACUGGGAUAGGUCGGAGUGGGUCACCAGAGCAUUGGGGAGCAUACACCGACAAGGGGUGUCACUGUGGUGGAUGGGCGCCGCUGCCUGAUGCAUCGAGUUGGGGAAGAGGGGUCCCUUGUCGUUGAUUAAUUGAAGAAUACUAUUUCGGGUAGAUGCGAUCUAGACUGUUGAUUGCCGAGCGGACGAUUAGGAUUAUAAGGGGACAUACCAGUUCGUUGAUUACGUAUACGCGGGAGCCGUGGAUCUUUGAUCGGAUGGUUUGGGUCGAGUGGGGGUAAUAACAUUUGUGUAACUUUUUCUUAAGGGACCCUAGGAAACCUAAAAAAUGACCCGCGAUCCACCACACUUAUAAGAUGGUUACAAAUUAGUCCAAAUUUUUCCAAGAUAAACCCUAAGGCGUGUUGAAAUAGAACUUGCCAUACAUACAAGGCAGUUUUGCACAGAGAACCCUCAGUUUAUAUUGUUAAUCAUGUAGAGGUUCACAAAUCUUCACAACUAGGUCCAUGUAGCUUAUUUUUAAGUAUAAAAUUAACCGAAAACUUGUAAAAUUCAUAUGUUUCAGGUUUUAACUUUGUUUUAAUUCAUUCAAGCUGUGUUAGGUUCAUAUUAAUAUUGUCUCCUUUUAACAACAUCGUGUCGCAUGUUUUCAAAAAUAAUUGGUUUAACCUUUGUUUAUUAGAUUACCUUUUCUAAUCAAAGUUAAUGUAAUAUUUUAAUUCGGUCCGUCCAGGCUAAAUUAUGAUUUCUAAUCAUGUUAUAGUUUGGAUUAAAGUUAAAUUAGUUAUUUCUUUGAAAUAUUUUUCUCACAUCAUUUAUAUUAAUUAAUAUCAACCUAGAACAUAGUUUUCAUUUUUAAUCACGUAAAUCUUCUAAAAACUAUAUCUUUUACAAAUGUAGCUCUAUUUUUAGUGGUUCUUGAACCUAUGGACUUGUCUAGAGAUGGCAAUGGGUACCCAAAACCCGAAUACCCAAUGUGUUUUACCCGAUAUGAAGGCGGAUACGUGAUGAUUUAUCUACCCGCGGGUAUGUUAAUGGGCAAAAACCUCUACCCAUUGGGUAGACGGGUACGAGUUGGUACUACCCAUACACGUCUACCCAUGGGUAAACUAUACUCGCAUCAAUACCACUAUAACCAUCUAAUAGAGCUCAUCUUAGCUAAAAUAAAACCCUUCUCUAACUAUUAUUUGUCUAGCUGCCAAGUUAUGUAAUCAUAUGAUUUGUUAUAUGUGAAAUUAAACUUGUUUUUUGUAUGUUUAUUUAAUAUUUUGAGUGAUUAGUAUAUUGGAAUUUAAGACUUUCCUAGCGGGUACGGAUUAUCCGACGGGUAAAAUUACCCACACGAGUACGGGUAUGGGUAAGAUUUAUACCCGCGAGCACAUAUGGGUAACGUGAUGGAUAUGAUUUUUGUUGAUGGGUAUGGGUAUGGAAUGGUACUACCCAACGAGUAUGUACCCGUUGCCAUCCUACACUUGUCUCGACGCAUAGAAUAUUCUUACACCGUUGUUUUCUAUGUUUGGUGAAAUGUUAUUUUGAAUUAUUAUUUGCUUGUUUGUUUAUAUCGUUGCGGUUUGACGAGCAAGUGUGUGUGAAUCUGUAGUUCAUGACUUUUUGAAGAGUCUGAGUAACAUGUUAUCACAAGUAAAAGGCUAAUGUGUCCUUUACAUUUUUUGACCUAAUAAUUUUAAUUUUUAUGUUCCCACCCAUGCAUGCAAUGUUAGGGUAAAUUAUGGGGAACCUAAUAGGUUACCUAGCCUUGUUUACCAUAUGCCUUGCUUAUACCUAGAUAAUUGAUUAUUGGGUAGAAAUGCUAUUCAUCUACUUGGUUUUGGGAUUAACAAUAUAUGUGAACCAUGAUCAUGUUGUAUUGUGCUUUGUUAUUGUUGGAUUUUUAUUGUGCAUGAUAAGAUUAUUUUGUUUAAUUGAAAAAUGGAGCGCCAAUCUGGGAAAACAGUGCAACCACGAGGACUACUAUGGCUGUGGUCUUGGCUAAUUAAUUAGGGAAGCUAGUGUGUGAGGACCUUACCCAAAAGGUGUAAUAGGGAAGGAAUUGCGCAAGUACAGGGCGGUUCUCGAGCCGAUCUGUAUGUGAUACCUUUUCGGACGAGGGGUUCACCUGAAUAUGUAAUGGGUUUUCUCAUGCUAGUGGGACUUUGUAAAGGCCUCACAGUGGCUCUCUAGACAUUCACCUUGAAAGUGUCUAAUGGUCUAGCUAACCCAGGUUCGAAGGGAAACAUGACUUAUGGGUAAAGAUGUACCACCUCUACAAAGUAUAAAAUUGAUAUAUCAGUCGUGCUCACGGCCAAGAGCGCCUCGGGCCUCUAGCUCACAUGAGUAAAUUAUAGAAUUAAGUUAAACCGAACUUACAUUGCAUUAUGGGUAUUUCAUUUAUGAUCAUUUAUUUAAUUGGGUUGGUAUUAUUUGUACCUAUUAAUUGCUAAUAAAAUUUUAAGCAACUUAAUUAAAAGUGGAUGUUUAGCCUCAACCAUAUCCUCAGUAAGCCUUACACUCCACUUUUUACUCCACACUUAUUGAACGAUGACCGUAAGGGAGCUCACACUUGCUAUAACCACUACCUAGAUCAAGAGCAGGUACCACAUGAGGAGGA